rnacentral:rRNA from 1 species
UGUAUUUAUUAGAUAAAAAACCAAUGCCCUUCGGGGCUUUUUGGUGAUUCAUGAUAACUUUACGGAUCGCAUAGCCUUGCGCUGGCGACGGUUCAUUCAAAUUUCUGCCCUAUCAACUUUCGAUGGUAAGGUAUUGGCUUACCAUGGUUUCAACGGGUAACGGGGAAUUAGGGUUCGAUUCCGGAGAGGGAGCCUGAGAAACGGCUACCACAUCCAAGGAAGGCAGCAGGCGCGCAAAUUACCCAAUCCCGACACGGGGAGGUAGUGACAAUAAAUACUGAUACAGGGCUCUUUUGGGUCUUGUAAUUGGAAUGAGUACAAUUUAAACCUCUUAACGAGGAACAAUUGGAGGGCAAGUCUGGUGCCAGCAGCCGCGGUAAUUCCAGCUCCAAUAGCGUAUAUUAAAGUUGUUGUGGUUAAAAAGCUCGUAGUUGAACCUUGGGCCUGGCCGUCCGGUCCGCCUCACCGCGUGUACUGGCUCGGCCGGGCCUUUCCCUCUGUGGAACCCCAUGCCCUUCACUGGGCGUGGCGGGGAACCAGG